rnacentral:rRNA from 1 species
GACGAACGCUGGCGGCGUGCUUAACACAUGCAAGUCGAACGGAAAGGCCCUGCUUGCAGGGUACUCGAGUGGCGAACGGGUGAGUAACACGUGGGUGAUCUGCCCUGCACUUCGGGAUAAGCCUGGGAAACUGGGUCUAAUACCGGAUAGGAGCCAUUUUUAGUGUGAUGGUUGGAAAGUUUUUUUCGGUGUAGGAUGAGCUCGCGGCCUAUCAGCUUGUUGGUGGGGUAAUGGCCUACCAAGGCGGCGACGGGUAGCCGGCCUGAGAGGGUGGACGGCCACAUUGGGACUGAGAUGCGGCCCAGACACCUACGGGAGGCAGCAGUGGGGAAUAUUGCACAAUGGGCGCAAGCCUGAUGCAGCGACGCCGCGUGGGGGAUGACGGCCUUCGGGUUGUAAACUCCUUUCGCUAGGGACGAAGCUUUUUGUGACGGUACCUAGAUAAGAAGCACCGGCUAACUACGUG